UGAACAACUUAUGGCUUCCGUGUUUCAAAGUCUUUUGCGCUACAGAUAAACACGCAAUUUGUGAAAUCGUGUUCCUUAUUUAAAACUUGAUGCAGACAGUCAAAAGUCACUAAAUGAAGCUUGUUUCUUGAACAUCCAAUCCAAAGAUUCUGGGCAAGCAGAAAUGAGAGAUCGAUUCUUGAGCACCAUUUCAAGAAACGAAAGAUGAUCAUAUUGAGUUGACUGCAAUGAGGAAGGAAUGUCCACCAUCUUGGCCUUGUUUGAUUGAAAUUGUGAGCCAACUGCAACAGAAUUUCAUU